rnacentral:tRNA from 1 species
GAAGGUAUAGCUCAGUGGUAGAGUGACUGCUUAGCAUGCACAAGGUCCUGAGUUCAACCCCCAGCACCUUCA